CCUGUUCGAGCGUCAUUACAACCCUCAAGCUCUGCUUGGUAUUGGGCGCCGCCGCCUGGCGCGCCUCAAAAUCAGUGGCGGUGCGUCUGGCUUCCAGCGUAGUAAUUCUUCUCGCUGCGGAGCCCAGGCGGCCCCCGCCAGAACCCCCCAUUCUAUCAAAGGUUGACCUCGGAUCAGGUAGGGAUACCCGCUGAACUUAA
rnacentral:misc_RNA from 1 species